ACCCAUACAUGUAUAGACCAUCAUACACCAACUCCAUAAUUGUUGGAAACUAUAUUAGUGCACCACUUGUGGUUUCUUUGGCCAUAUGUUUGAAUUUUUCCUAUGACAGUGUAAAGCCCAAUUUGCUAGACUGACUUGUUCCUUUGGCAAAAGGUAAUGACCAUAGCCAUCCUGCAUCCAAUAAAACUCUUGGACAAGAUUUCACCAUAGGACUUGUGCUCAACAAAGUACCAAUUCCUCCACAUAGUAACAAUCAUAAGGUCAUUGCAGCCACAUUCACAGCCAGCCUUAGCUUGUAAUUUGGUAUAAAUGCAGCAUUAAAAAUGGGCACAAUGAUACCCAAUGAAAAUGAAAUAGCCGAGGGUACUGCUGCCUGGAAGGAAUUUGGCAAAUGUUCCUCAUUAUCUUUUUCAUGUUCUUGGUUCUGUCCUUAAGUUUCUUUGUCUAUCUUCAUUUGAUCUUGUUGUAUGUCUAAUUGAGAGUACACUGAGACAAACUUUAGGCCAUCCUUGGUAUUUGUUACUAAUAAUCUGACUUGAAUUUUAUUAUUUAUAAUGUUUUUACAAUAUCACAUAUCUUCUGUAACUUUAUUUUAAUAUUUGAAAAUAUCCUUCGAAUCAUAUGCAAGAAAAAACCAACAAAACUGACACUUUGGGAGGAUUUCAUUGAUCAUGAGGGAGUUAAACUUUUCAACCAACUUCAUGAUUACCCGAUCAUUCUUGCUAGGAGAAUUGGGAAAUCAUCUUCAGGAACGUCAAAUAGAUUCGUUGGUUUGACGAGCAAAUUCAAUACAACAAUUGAAAUCAAUCCUCCAUAUCCACAGGCUGCCGAAUUAAGGACGUGGAUCAAAACAAUUGAAACAAAGCUUGUUGCUUAUAAGAUGAAAAGUACAACUCCAAUAGGCUCUAUUAUGUUGAUUCCAUUUGAGGAUGAGGUUAUAUCUGUGGCUAACAUCCAAGCACAACCUCCGGUAAGA